rnacentral:rRNA from 1 species
AGAGUUUGAUCGUGGCUCAGAUUGAACGCUAGCGGCAUGCCUUACACAUGCAAGUCGAACGGCAGCGCGGACUUCGGUCUGGCGGCGAGUGGCGAACGGGUGAGUAAUGCAUCGGAACGUGCCCAGUAGCGGGGGAUAACUACGCGAAAGCGUAGCUAAUACCGCAUACGCCCUACGGGGGAAAGGGGGGGAUCGCAAGACCUCUCACUAUUGGAGCGGCCGAUGUCGGAUUAGCUAGUUGGUGGGGUAAAGGCCUACCAAGGCGACGAUCCGUAGCUGGUUUGAGAGGACGACCAGCCACACUGGGACUGAGACACGGCCCAGACUCCUACGGGAGGCAGCAGUGGGGAAUUUUGGACAAUGGGGGCAACCCUGAUCCAGCCAUGCCGCGUGUGCGAAGAAGGCCUUCGGGUUGUAAAGCACUUUUGGCAGGAAAGAAACGGCGCCGGAUAAUACCUGGCGUAACUGACGGUACCUGCAGAAUAAGCACCGGCUAACUACGUGCCAGCAGCCGCGGUAAUACGUAGGGUGCAAGCGUUAAUCGGAAUUACUGGGCGUAAAGCGUGCGCAGGCGGUUCGGAAAGAAAGAUGUGAAAUCCCAGGGCUCAACCUUGGAACUGCAUUUUUAACUCCCGAACUAGAGUAUGUCAGAGGGGGGUGGAAUUCCACGUGUAGCAGUGAAAUGCGUAGAUAUGUGGAGGAACACCGAUGGCGAAGGCAGCCCCCUGGGAUAAUACUGACGCUCAUGCACGAAAGCGUGGGGAGCAAACAGGAUUAGAUACCCUGGUAGUCCACGCCCUAAACGAUGUCAACUAGCUGUUGGGUUCUUCGGAGCUUGGUAGCGCAGCUAACGCGUGAAGUUGACCGCCUGGGGAGUACGGUCGCAAGAUUAAAACUCAAAGGAAUUGACGGGGACCCGCACAAGCGGUGGAUGAUGUGGAUUAAUUCGAUGCAACGCGAAAAACCUUACCUACCCUUGACAUGUCUGGAAUCCUGAAGAGAUUUAGGAGUGCUCGAAAGAGAACCGGAACACAGGUGCUGCAUGGCCGUCGUCAGCUCGUGUCGUGAGAUGUUGGGUUAAGUCCCGCAACGAGCGCAACCCUUGUCAUUAGUUGCUACGAAAGGGCACUCUAAUGAGACUGCCGGUGACAAACCGGAGGAAGGUGGGGAUGACGUCAGGUCCUCAUGGCCCUUAUGGGUAGGGCUUCACACGUCAUACAAUGGUCGGGACAGAGGGCAGCCAACCCGCGAGGGGGAGCCAAUCCCAGAAACCCGAUCGUAGUCCGGAUUGCAGUCUGCAACUCGACUGCAUGAAGUCGGAAUCGCUAGUAAUCGCGGAUCAGCAUGUCGCGGUGAAUACGUUCCCGGGUCUUGUACACACCGCCCGUCACACCAUGGGAGUGGGUUCUACCAGAAGUAGGUAGCCUAACCGUAAGGAGGGCGCUUACCACGGUAGGGUUCAUGACUGGGGUGAAGUCGUAACAAGGUAGCCGUAG